CGCCAGACUCCUACGGGAGGCAGCAGUGAGGAAUAUUGGUCAAUGGGCGGAAGCCUGAACCAGCCAAGUCGCGUGAGGGAAGAAGGCCCUGCGGGUCGCAGACCUCUUUGGACGGGGAGCAAGGCCGCCGACGUGUCGGCGGAAGGAGAGUACCCGUAGAACAAGCAUCGGCUAACUCCGUGCCAGCAGCCGCGGUAAUACGGAGGAUGCGAGCGUUAUCCGGAUUUAUUGGGUUUAAAGGGUGCGCAGGCGGGCUGUUAAGCCGGCGGUAAAAAUUCAGGGCUCAACCCUGUCGAGCCGUCGGAACUGGCAGUCUUGAGUGGGCGAGAAGUAUGCGGAAUGCGUGGUGUAGCGGUGAAAUGCAUAGAUAUCACGCAGAACGCCGAUUGCGAAGACAGCAUACCGGCGCCCAACUGACGCUGAGGCACGAAAGCGUGGGGAUCGAACAGGAUUAGAUACCCUAGUA
rnacentral:rRNA from 1 species